ACGAUGGGAGCUUGCUCCCAGGCGUCGAGCGGCGGACGGGUUAGUAACGCGUGGGAAUAUACCCAGUUCUAAGGAAUAGCCACUGGAAACGGUGAGUAAUACCUUAUACGCCCUUCGGGGGAAAGAUUUAUCGGAAUUGGAUUAGCCCGCGUUAGAUUAGAUAGUUGGUGGGGUAAUGGCCUACCAAGCCUACGAUCUAUAGCUGGUUUGAGAGGAUGAUC
rnacentral:rRNA from 1 species